rnacentral:rRNA from 1 species
UACGUAGGGGGCUAGCGUUAUCAGGAAUUACUGGGCGUAAAGGGUGCGUAGGUGGUUUCUUAAGUCAGAAGUGAAAGGCUACGGCUCAACCGUAGUAAGCUUUUGAAACUGAGAAACUUGAGUGCAGGAGAGGAGAGUAGAAUUCCUAGUGUAGCGGUGAAAUGCGUAGAUAUUAGGAGGAAUACCAGUUGCGAAGGCGUCUCUCUGGACUGUAACUGACACUGAGGCAAGAAAGCGUGGGGAGCAAACAGG